CAGGAUGGGGAGUACUAGUACACACUAGCACUUGCAGUCACAGGGAAGCAGGAGACCCUGGUUACAGUUCCAAGACAGAAAAGAGUGCUUGUGGUUACUCACAGACCAGAACACAGGAGAGUAUUAAACAUACCUAUCCUUACGUCACCUUGGAAGAACUGAAAACUUUAAAUCCACAGAGCUUGGAAAAUCACCUUGGAAGAACUGAAAACUUAUAGAUCCACAGAGCUAGCUCUGAAAGCAGUUGCACAAAGAACAUGGAGCUUGGAAUCCUUCACUGUAGGAACAGAGCCCAAUUUUAAUUUUUUAAGUUAAAAUAAAAGGGGAAAAGCUGUAAAAUGAGCAAACAACAAAAAAAGAAACUCAACAAAGUUAUUUUGGUGACAAGGAAGACCAAAACACAAACUCAGAAAAAGACAACAAAGUCAAACUGCUAUAUCCAAAGCUUCCAAGAAAAUAUGAUUUAGUCUCAAGUCCAAAAGAACUAACAAAGGAGCUCAAAAAAUAUUUUAAAAAUCAGAGAGAUAGGAGAAAAAUUGGGAAAAGAAAUGAGAGUGAUAUGAGAAAGUCUUGAAAAAAGUCAACAGCAUGGUAAAGGAGGAAGGAACAAAGGAAGAAAGGAAGAAAAGCAUCACCUGCCUGGGAAUACAACAGAAGCCAGUUCUCUGAGACCAACUACACAAUAAUGCCUCUCAUAGGUAUAUCUCAUUGUCACAGGGACGAGAAAAAUGGCUCAGAACCAGCAAGGAGAAACAGAUGUUUUAACUUGUAUUUAAAUUCUCAGUUGUCUUCAGCCCAAAUAAGGAGCAAGGUGUAGAAGAAAGAACACUGAUGACCUGGGGUUGAAUUCUGCCCUUACUACUUGUAUAUGAGCCUCGGUUAAGAACUGGGCUGGACAGAAGAAGAGUUGGGAGCUUUGCCUCUGAAAACCCUCUAUUCACCCCUUAAAGGGGAAAGGUUGCCCCCUCCAGAAUCCACCAAAGACUAGCACAGGGCUCAGAAUCAUGGCGUCCUGGACUCAAAACUAAAAGGAUCUUCCCUGCCUCAAGCUCAGGGAGAAACAGCAGCCACCAAACCAUAGAUGGAUUUAUUUGGUGUGAUAGCCUUUAAAACAGGACCCUAAAAUGGUCCCUCAUCCCUCAUCACCACCAGAUCAGCCUUUAACUGGAGAGCACGUCAAUGUCUGACUCGGGAGAACAGGUGUCGACACUUGAACGAACGCCUGUCACAAAUUUCCUUCAAAAGCCAACUUCGAACUCAACGCAUCUUGAGUGGUUUCUCGGUGGAUAAUUGAGUUGAAGGCAGCGAGUGAGCUGGGACCAUCCAUCUAGUGCAGGCAUUACUGGAGGCAAAUCGAGAGAAGAGAGACUUGGAGAAACUUAAAAAUUGGGUUCAUUCAAGGGAAGAAUUCCAUGAAGUAAGGGGGAAAUGAUGUGUGGGUUAGAUUCUACCCUGUUCCUGAUAAUCCCCAAAUAAAUCACCUAACUGAAAG